CACGUAGGGCGCAAGCGUUGUCCGGAAUUAUUGGGCGUAAAGAGCUCGUAGGCGGUCUGUUGCGUCCGCUGUGAAAACUCGGGGCUUAACCCCGAGCCUGCAGUGGAUACGGGCAGACUAGAGGUAGGUAGGGGAGAAUGGAAUUCCCGGUGUAGCGGUGAAAUGCGUAGAUAUCUGGAGGAACACCGGUGGCGAAGGCGGCGUUCUGGACUGUAACUGACACUGAAGAACGAAAGCCAGGGGAGCAAACGGG
rnacentral:rRNA from 1 species